rnacentral:rRNA from 1 species
GCCGCGGUAAUUCCAGCUCCAAUAGCGUAUAUUAACGUUGUUGCAGUUAAAAAGCUCGUAGUUGAAGUGUGGGUGGUGCUGUCUGAGUAACUUCGGUUAGUCAGAUGAUCACUACCCCCUUCCAGUAUCCAGUAGUGGGUAUUCAGUUACUUACUAUUGUGUGUUGGUCGUUUACUGUGAGAAAAUUAGAGUGUUCAAAGCAGGCGUUUGCUUGAAUAGAUUAGCAUGGAAUAAUAAUUGAAGGCUUUCGUGUUCGAUUUGAUUGGUUUGUUCAUGGAAGCAAGGUUAAAAGGAACAGUUGGGGGUAUUCAUAUUCACUAGUUAGAGGUGAAAUUCUCGGAUUUAUGGAAGAUGAACAAGUGCGAAAGCAUUUACCAAGGAUGUUUUCAUUAAUCAAGAGCGAAAG